rnacentral:misc_RNA from 1 species
AGCAGCCGCGGUAAUUCCAGCUCCAAUAGCGUAUAUUAAAGUUGUUGCAGUUAAAAAGCUCGUAGUUGAAUUUCGGGGUUAGCAGGUCGGUCGUGCCAUUGGUAUGAACUGGUCUCGCUGAUCCCUCCCUCUUGACGAACUGUGAUGCCAUUAAUUUGGUGUCGCAGGGAAUCAGGACUGUUACUUUGAAAAAUUAGAGUGUUUAAAGCAGGCUCACGCUUGAAUACAUUAGCAUGGAAUAAUGAAAUAGGACGUUUGAUCCUAUUUUGUUGGCUUCUAGGAUUGACGUAAUGAUUAAUAGGGAUAGUUGGGGGCAUUAGUAUUCAAUUGUCAGAGGUGAAAUUCUUGGAUUUAUUGAAGACUAACUACUGCGAAAGCAUUUUGCCAAGGAUGUUUUCAUUAAUCAAGAACGAAAGUUAGGGGAUCGAAGACGAUCAGAUACCGUCGUAGUCUUAACCAUAAACUAUGCCGACUAGGGAUCGGAUGAUGUUAAUUUUUAAUGACU